UACCGCAAUGGGCGAAAGCCUGACGGAGCAACGCCGCGUGAGUGAUGAAGGUCUUCGGAUCGUAAAACUCUGUUAUUAGGGAAGAACAUAUGUGUAAGUAACUGUGCACAUCUUGACGGUACCUAAUCAGAAAGCCACGGCUAACUACGUGCCAGCAGCCGCGGUAAUACGUAGGUGGCAAGCGUUAUCCGGAAUUAUUGGGCGUAAAGCGCGCGUAGGCGGUUUUUUAAGUCUGAUGUGAAAGCCCACGGCUCAACCGUGGAGGGUCAUUGGAAACUGGAAAACUUGAGUGCAGAAGAGGAAAGUGGAAUUCCAUGUGUAGCGGUGAAAUGCGCAGAGAUAUGGAGGAACACCAGUGGCGAAGGCGACUUUCUGGUCUGUAACUGACGCUGAUGUGCGAAAGCGUGGGGAUCAAACAGGAUUAGAUACCC
rnacentral:rRNA from 1 species